ACGCGAAAGUCCCCUUCGGGGGACGAGUAGAGUGGCGCACGGGUGAGUAACACGUAGGUAAUCUACCUUUGGAUGGGGAAUAACAACCGGAAACGGUUGCUAAUACCGCAUAAUGCAGCGGCACCUAAUGGUGACAGUUGUUAAAGCGGGGGAUCGAAAGACCUCGCGUCUAAAGAGGAGCCUGCGGCGGAUUAGCUAGUUGGUAAGGUAAUGGCUUACCAAGGCGAUGAUCCGUAGCCGGCCUGAGAGGGCGGUCGGCCACACUGACACUGACAUACGGGUCAGACUCCUACGGGAGGCAGCAGUCGGGAAUUUUGGGCAAUGGGCGAAAGCCUGACCCAGCAACGCCGCGUGAAGGAUGAAAUCCUUCGGGAUGUAAACUUCGCAAGAACGGGAAGAAUAAGUAAGAGCUAACAUCUCUUACGAUGACGGUACUGUUUGUAAGCUCCGGCUAACUCCGUGCCAGCAGCCGCGGUAAUACGGGGGGAGCAAGCGUUG
rnacentral:rRNA from 1 species